rnacentral:lncRNA from 1 species
AGUAAUUUUGUUCUUGCGGCAGAAUAAAAGCACCAAAAAUUGAGUCUGCAAGUUUGGAAAGAAGGAGAAGAACAAAACAUUGACGGAAGAGUAAGAUUGGGUGAUGGAUAUCCUUAGCUAAAUCCUGUGAUACGAACGAAAUCCCCAUUUUUCGGUGAAGAUAGAAAAUUUUCGAAAGAGAAGGGAGAUGAUCCGAAUUGCUGAAGGAAAGUAGAAGAAAAGG